UACGUAGGGGGCAAGCGUUGUCCGGAUUUAUUGGGCGUAAAGAGCUCGUAGGUGGUUCGGUAAGUCGGAUGUGAAAUCUCCAGGCUCAACCUGGAGGGUCAUUCGAUACUGCCGUGACUAGAGGUCGGUAGGGGAGUGUGGAAUUCCUGGUGGAGCGGUGAAAUGCGCAGAUAUCAGGAGGAACACCCGUAGCGAAGGCGGCACUCUGGGCCGAUACUGACCAUGAGGAGCGAAAGCGUGGGGAGCGAACAGG
rnacentral:rRNA from 1 species